rnacentral:rRNA from 1 species
CGGUUACAUGGAUAACUGUGGUAAUUCUAGAGCUAAUACAUGCCUCCAGAGUCCCUGUCCUCGAAGGUAGCAAUGCCGACGAGGUGAGGGCGCUUUUAUUAGUUCACAAAACCAAUUGUCGGAUCUCGGUCCGUCAACUAACCUUGUGAUGACUCUGAAUAACUUUUUGCUGAGCGCAAGGCCUAUUAUACAGUGCCGGCGCCGCAUCUUUCAAGUGUCUGCCUUAUCAGCUGACGAUUGUAGGUGAAAUGCCUACAAUGGCUAUAACGGGUAACGGGGAAUCAGGGUUCGAUUCCGGAGAGGGAGCCUGAGAAACGGCUACCACAUCCAAGGAAGGCAGCAGGCACGCAAAUUACCCACUCCCAGCACGGGGAGGUAGUGACGAAAAAUAACAAUGUGAGACUCAUCCGAGGCCUCGCAAUUGGAAUGAGUACACUUUAAAUCCUUUAACGAGUACCAAUUGGAGGGCAAGUCUGGUGCCAGCAGCCGCGGUAAUUCCAGCUCCAAUAGCAUAUAUUAAUGUUGUUGCGGUUAAAAAGCUCGUAGUUGGAUCUGAGAUGCAGGGCGACCGUAUUGCUGCACGGCGGCGAUACAGUGUCGUCUCCUGUAGUGCCCCUCCUUCUCGAUAUACUGAGGGGAGUCUGGGCCCAGCCGGCUCGCACGGGAUUCCCUUUAUCGGUUGUCCCGAGUGGCUGGUGAGUUUACUUUGAAAAAAUUAGAGUGCUCAAAGCAGGCAGUAUAUUAAGCCUGAAUGGUGAUGCAUGGAAUAAUGGAAUAGGACCUUGGUUCUAUUUUGUUGGUUUUAACUGAACCCAAGGUAAUGACUAAGAGAGACAGUCGGGGGCAUUUGUACUGUGACGCUAGAGGUGAAAUUCUUGGACCGUCACAAGACAAACAACUGCGAAAGCAUUUGCCAAGGAUGUUUUCAUUAAUCAAGAACGAAAGUUAGAGGUUCGAAGGCGAUCAGAUACCGCCCUAGUUCUAACCAUAAACGAUGCCAACCAGCAAUCCGCCGGGGUUAUUCCCAUGACCCGGCGGGCAGCUUCCGGGAAACCAGAGUCUUUGGGUUCCGGGGGAAGUAUGGUUGCAAAGCUGAAACUUAAAGGAAUUGACGGAAGGGCACCACCAGGAG